GAUUCCAUAAGUGUGUGUUUGCAACUAUGCAUUUAUGACCUGCCGAAAGUGUCUCCCAAAUGUUGAUAUUGAUUUUCCUUUUAUGAAACUGGAUUUAGAAUAGCUGAAGCCGGGUUAUCAAUUGCACAAACUAACAACUGGUACCCUAAUACCUCGUUGAAGACAAGGUUCUAAAUCAGUUUUGUGUCCUCUUAUCCUCAACUCCUUGAUUUGAGUUUGUUGGAAGUUAGUAUUAUGGGAUAAUUAUGAUUUGUAGGUCAAACCUUGAUACCUUGUUAUUUCUUGAUUGUUUCAUUUCUGCCAGUGGACAUCUUGGUUGACAUGUUGGCUGGUGAAGGAUGUACUGUGCAGGAUUAGUUGGAAAACAGAGAGAGUGAUUACAAUCCACUUCUUUAAAAUGGCUUGAAGGGCUACAUUGGCUACAUACCUCCAGAAUAUUGUAUAGGAGAGAAACCAUCAACGGCUGGAGAUGUGGACAGUUACGUGAUCAAGUUGCUAGAGCUUUUUACUGGAAAGAGCUCUAACCAUGAGAGUUCCACAGCAGAUUUAAGCUCGAAGAAAUGGGUGCAAAUGGCGUUCGGACCAACGUAGAUCAAGUGUUGUAUCCUGGUUUGGUGCCAAACAACAGUAGUGACGUUCACUCCAUUACUUCAGAAGCAUGGAGUGAUUGCUAUAUAUAUUGCAAUACUUGGUGUUGGUCUCGCUUACAUUGUUGAUUUGCCAGACGGAUGCAUUAGCAUGAGGGAUGGUAGAGGGUAGUCCCAUUCCUGAAAUAGGCUAUAGUAGGAAUGCUUGAUCUGUCCAUCAAUUUGUAUAUUAAGUGUUUGUGCUUUAGGUAUCAGUGUUCGACUUCUACAAAUUCAAAGCUCUUGUGUCAUGGAUCAGAACUGUUUUUUU